GACGAACGCUGGCGGCGUGCUUAACACAUGCAAGUCGAACGGACAGGCCCUGCUUUUGUGGGUUGCUCGAUUGGCGAACGGGUGAGUAACACGUGAGUAACCUGCCCUUGACUUUGGGAUAACUUCAGGAAACUGGGGCUCUUACCGGGUAGGAGCUCCUGCUGCAUGGUGGGGGUUGGAAAGAUUCGGCGGUUGGGGAUGGACUCGAAGCUUAUGAGCUUGUUGGUGAGGUAGUGGCUUACAAAGCUUUUGACGGAUAGCCGGCCUGGGAGGGUGACCGGGGACAAUGGGACUGAGGGACGGCCCAGUAUCGUACGGGCGGCAAUGGGGGGGAAUAUGGCAGAAUGGGGGGAAGCCUGAGGCAACGACGUCCGGUUCGUGAAGACCGGCUUCUGGGUGUAAACCGCUUUCUCCGUUGACGAAGAGUUAGUGACGGUAAUGGGUAAAAAAGCAACGGCUAACUACGUG
rnacentral:rRNA from 1 species